rnacentral:rRNA from 1 species
GACGAACGCUGGCGGCGUGCCUCAUACAUGCAAGUAGAACGCAGUUGCGAACGGGUGAGUAACGCGUAGGUAACUUCAUCAUAGUGGGGGAUAACUAUUGGACACGAUAGCUAAUACCGCAUCCUGUGCGAUGGACCUGCUUUGUAUUUUCUAGUGGUUGAGGUAAAGGCUCACCAAGGCGACGAUCCAUCGCCGACCUGAGAGGGGGAUAGGCAAAGCUGGGAAUGAGACAAGGGCCAGACGCCUACGGGAGGCAACAGUAGGGAAGCGUCGGCAAGGGACGGAAGUCUGACCGAGCAACGCAGCGUGAGUGGAGAAGGUUUGCGGAUCGGAAAGCUCUGUUGUUAGAGAAGCGGUAACUAACCAGAAAGGGACGGCUAACUACGUGCCAGCAGCCGCGGUAAUUC